CGAACUGUGCGAACGUUAUUCGGAAUCACUGGGCUUACAGGGUGCGUAGGCGGCUAUUCAGGUCAGGUGUGAAAGCCCCCGGCUCAACCGGGGAACUGCGCUUGAAACCGAGUGGCUCGAGUCAGCUAGAGGUACACGGAACUUCCAGUGGAGCGGUGAAAUGUGUUGGUAUUGGAAGGAACACCGGAGGCGAAAGCGGUGUACUGGGGCUGGUCUGACGCUGAGGCACGAAAGCCAGGGGAGCGAACGGGAUUAGAUACCCCCGGUAGUCCUGGCCGUAAACGAUGAGUGCUGGACGGGAGGGGGUUCGCCCUUUCCGGUCGGAGCGAAAGCGGGAAGCACUCCGCCUGGGGAGUAUGGUCGCAAGGCUG
rnacentral:rRNA from 1 species